rnacentral:rRNA from 1 species
UGUUGAUCCCCUCCAGUAUUAUAUGCUGAUGUUAAAGAUUAAGCCAUGCAUGUGUAAGUUUAAAGACCAAGUAGGAUGAAACUGCGGACGGCUCAUUAUAACAGUAAUAGUUUCUUUGGUUAGUAGGUACAAGGAUAACUUUGUGAAUGAUAAAGCUAAUACUUGAGACGAUCCGGGGAGUAUUUAUACUUUUCGGCCCUCGGCCGCGAGGUUGGGGAGAAACGACAUUCUCUUGUGAAAAAGGAUGCCGCGACAAUUGAGGAAAGCGACGCUUUUAACAAGUAACCAAUGGGAAUUUCUGAUCUAUCAAUUUGUUGGUAGUAUCGAGGACUACCAAGAUUAUAACGGAUAACGAGGAAUUGGGGUUCGACAUCGGAGAGGGAGCUUUACAGAUGGCUACCACUUCUAAGGAAGGCAGCAGGCGCGUAAAUUACCCACUUUCGACUCGAAGAGGUAGUGACGACAAAUAACUCUUGGCGCCCCUCGGGGUGCCUUGAAGGAAUGAUUUAAAAGUAAAUUCUCUAAAGAAAUCAAUUGGAGGGCAAGUCUGGUGCCAGCAGCCGCGGUAAUUCCAGCUCCCAAUAGGGA